rnacentral:rRNA from 1 species
GACGAACGCUGGCGGCGUGCUUAACACAUGCAAGUCGAACGGAAAGGCCCUGCUUUUGUGGGGUGCUCGAGUGGCGAACGGGUGAGUAACACGUGAGUAACCUGCCCUUGACUUUGGGAUAACUUCAGGAAACUGGGGCUAAUACCGGAUAGGAGCUCCUGCUGCAUGGUGGGGGUUGGAAAGUUUCGGCGGUUGGGGAUGGACUCGCGGCUUAUCAGCUUGUUGGUGGGGUAGUGGCUUACCAAGGCUUUGACGGGUAGCCGGCCUGAGAGGGUGACCGGCCACAUUGGGACUGAGAUACGGCCCAGACUCCUACGGGAGGCAGCAGUGGGGAAUAUUGCACAAUGGGCGGAAGCCUGAUGCAGCAACGCCGCGUGCGGGAUGACGGCCUUCGGGUUGUAAACCGCUUUCGCCUGUGACGAAGCGUGAGUGACGGUAAUGGGUAAAGAAGCACCGGCUAACUACGUGCCAGCAGCCGCGGUGAUACGUAGGGUGCGAGCGUUGUCCGGAUUUAUUGGGCGUAAAGGGCUCGUAGGUGGUUGAUCGCGUCGGAAGUGUAAUCUUGGGGCUUAACCCUGAGCGUGCUUUCGAUACGGGUUGACUUGAGGAAGGUAGGGGAGAAUGGAAUUCCUGGUGGAGCGGUGGAAUGCGCAGAUAUCAGGAGGAACACCAGUGGCGAAGGCGGUUCUCUGGGCCUUUCCUGACGCUGAGGAGCGAAAGCGUGGGGAGCGAACAGGCUUAGAUACCCUGGUAGUCCACGCUGUAAACGGUGGGUACUAGGUGUGGGGUCCAUUCCACGGGUUCCGUGCCGUAGCUAACGCUUUAAGUACCCCGCCUGGGGAGUACGGCCGCAAGGCUAAAACUCAAAGGAAUUGACGGGGCCCCGCACAAGCGGCGGAGCAUGCGGAUUAAUUCGAUGCAACGCGUAGAACCUUACCUGGGUUUGACAUGGAUCGGGAGUGCUCAGAGAUGGGUGUGCCUCUUUUGGGGUCGGUUCACAGGUGGUGCAUGGCUGUCGUCAGCCCGUGUCGUGAGAUGUUGGGUUAAGUCCCGCAACGAGCGCAACCCUUGUUCACUGUUGCCAGCACGUUAUGGUGGGGACUCAGUGGAGACCGCCGGGGUCAACUCGGAGGAAGGUGGGGAUGACGUCAAGUCAUCAUGCCCCUUAUGUCCAGGGCUUCACGCAUGCUACAAUGGCUGGUACAGAGAGUGGCGAGCCUGUGAGGGUGAGCGAAUCUCGGAAAGCCGGUCUCAGUUCGGAUUGGGGUCUGCAACUCGACCUCAUGAAGUCGGAGUCGCUAGUAAUCGCAGAUCAGCAACGCUGCGGUGAAUACGUUCCCGGGGCU